AGAAUCUUGCACAAGAAUUCCUGGAGGACAAGGGUUCAGGAUCAUCCUUCAAAGAAGCUAACUCCAGGUGGACUCUGGCCCUUGAAAUGAAGAUGAGACAGAAGAACAGAACGGGAAAGAAACAUUUUCCCUCCUGUCCCAGCUAGGUUCCUACCUAGGAAUUCCCUUCCUCCCGUGCACCUCUGAGACCCAGAGUCGCCGCCUCUACCUGUACGCAGAGGUUCCCCAGCGCCGAUAUCAAACCCCGGGGCCACGCGCAAAGGGAUCUGCCACCGCUACACCACCCAGCUUCAAAUGUGCUCUUUAACUGAGCUUGAACUCCGUGCGAACAGAUCUCCGUCAACGCUCUCAGUGCCGUUGCAAGAAUACCUGCUCCAGCAUCCAUCAGCGACGGGCAAUGCGCUCAAUACCACCGCAGGCCAGCAGGGGGCAGACGAUGACCAGCUUUCUCACCACCCAACAGCCUCAACAGCCAGGACAGGCGAGCAGAUUUGUAGGCAAUAAAUCCAAGCGGCCAGGGCCAGGCCAGGAAUGGCUUUAAAUCUGUGGUUCGU